GACGUGGGGCGCGAGCGUUGUCCGGAUUUAUUGGGCGUAAAGAGCUCGUAGGCGGCUUGUCGCGUCAACUGUGAAAACCCGUGGCUCAACCAUGUGGUCUGCAGUCGAUACGGGCAGGCUAGAAUUCGGUAGGGGAGACUGGAAUUCCUGGUGUAGCGGUGAAAUGCGCAGAUAUCAGGAGGAACACCCGUGGCUAAGGCGGCUCUCUAGUACGGUACUGACGCUGAGACGCGAAAGCGUGGGGAGCGAACAGG
rnacentral:rRNA from 1 species